GUAGUGGGGCCUUCUAUAAUGUAGUGUACAAUGUGACUUACAGAAGAAGUGACUUGUCUGGUCACAUCCUAUAGCUAUAGGUAGUGGGGCCUUCUAUAAUACAAUGAACAAGGUGACUUACAGAAGAAGUGACUUGUCUGGUCACAUCCUAUAGCUAUAGGUAGUGGGGCCUUCUAUAAUACAAUGUACAAGGUGACUUACAGAAGAAGUGACUUGUCUGGUCACAUUCUAUAGCUAUAGGUAGUGGGGCCUUCUAUAAUGUAGUGUACAAUGUGACUUAUAGAAGAAGUGACUUGUCUGGUCACAUCCUAUAGCUAUAGGUAGUGGGGCCUUCUAUAAUGUAGUAUACAAUGUGACUUAUAGAAGAAGUGACUUGUCUGGUCACAUCCUAUAGCUAUAGGUAGUGGGGCCUUCUAUAA